GGAGGCAUGGUUCAAGUAGUAGAACACCAACCUAGCAAGUCCAAGGUCCUGAGUUCAAAUCCUAGUACCACCA
rnacentral:tRNA from 1 species